rnacentral:rRNA from 1 species
UUCUCGAAUUAAGAAGAGCUAUGACUUUAUCUAUUUAAUUGUAGCAUAAAUUUUUUCAAUAAGGUCAUGGGAGUGAAACGCUAUUCGUUUUUUAAGUUAUCUAGUUUCUUAAGAAAUAAAUUUAAUUUAAUUUUUUUAAUACAUGAGGCCUAUUAUGUGACUUUAUGUUUAGGGAAUUAAAUGUCCUGGGGGACGAGCUCCAGGAUAAAUUAAUAUAAUUGAUUAGGUUUGGUCGAGAGUUCAUAGGAUUGGAAAUGUUCAUUUUUAGUUUGUUAUAAUUAACUUUUGGGCGAAUAAGAUUUGUAUUUAAGUUUAUGUUUUAUAUUAAGAUUAUUCAUUGAAUGGGGCAUUGUAUGAAAUAAUGAUAAAAUUAGUAUAUAGUUUUGUUUAAUUAGAUUUUUGGUCAAGGUUAAGUUAAGGAACUCGGCAAAUUUAUUUUCCGCCUGUUUAUUAAAAACAUGUCUUUUUGAUAAUAAUUUAAAGUCUAGCCUGCCCAAUGAGGAGUUGAAUGGCCGCGGUACUUUGACCGUGCAAAGGUAGCAUAAUCAUUAGUUUUUUAAUUGAAAGCUGGUAUGAACGGCUGGACGAGAAAAUGACUGUCUCAAUUUAAUUGAAAUUAGAAUUUUAUUUAUAAGUAAAAAAGCUUAUAUGAAUUUAAAAGACGAGAAGACCCUAUAGAAUUUUAUAAUUAGACUUUUGUUUUAUGAUUAGAAUAGGAAGUGAGGCAGGGGUUGAAUUAUUUUGUUGGGGCGACAGAAAAAUUGAUUAAACUUUUUCUCUUUAAGUUCAUUAAUUUAUGUGUAUUUGAUCCGUUCAUUACGAUUAUAAGAUUAAAUUACCUUAGGGAUAACAGCGUAAUUUUUUUUUAGAGUUCUUAUCGAAAAAAGAGUUUGCGACCUCGAUGUUGGAUUAAAAUUAACUUUUGGUGUAGGGGCUAGAAGGUUAGGUCUGUUCGACC